UACGUAGGGUGCAAGCGUUAAUCGGAAUACUAGGCGUAAAGCGAUGCGCAGGCGGUUAUGUAAGAACAGUUGUGAAAUCCCCGGGCUCAACCUGGGAACUGCAUCUGUGACUGCAUAGCUAGAGUACGGUAGAGGGGGAUGGAAUUCCGCGUGUAGCAGUGAAAUGCGUAGAUAUGCGGAGGAACACCGAUGGCGAAGGCAAUCCCCCUCGGACCUGUACUG
rnacentral:rRNA from 1 species